rnacentral:rRNA from 1 species
CUACGGGAGGCAGCAGUGGGGAAUAUUGCACAAUGGGCGCAAGCCUGAUGCAGCAACGCCGCGUGAGGGACGAAGGCCUUCGGGUUGUAAACCUCUUUUAGUAGGGAAGAAGCGAAAGUGACGGUACCUGCAGAAAAAGCACCGGCUAACUACGUGCCAGCAGCCGCGGUAAUACGUAGGGUGCAAGCGUUAUCCGGAAUUAUUGGGCGUAAAGAGCUCGUAGGCGGUUUGUCGCGUCUGCUGUGAAAACUGGAGGCUCAACCUCCAGCCUGCAGUGGGUACGGGCAGACUAGAGUGCGGUAGGGGAGAUUGGAAUUCCUGGUGUAGCGGUGAAACGCGCAGAUAUCAGGAGGAACACCGAUGGCGAAGGCAGAUCUCUGGGCCGUAACUGACGCUGAGGAGCGAAAGCAUGGGGAGCGAACAGGAUUAGAUACCCUGGUAGUCCAUGCCGUAAACGUUGGGAACUAGAUGUAGGGACCAUUCCACGGUUUCUGUGUCGCAGCUAACGCAUUAAGUUCCCCGCCUGGGGAGUACGGCCGCAAGGCUAAAACUCAAAGGAAUUGACGGGGG